rnacentral:rRNA from 1 species
GUUAUUUAUAUUUAAACAAUAUAUUUUCGUACACGAAGUCAGUUGAGCUAAAUAUUUAAUAGUUAUUGGACAAUAGUAUUAGUGUAGUAGUACUAAUAAAAAAUUUAUAUUUAGGGGUGAUAGGCUUUUCAAAAUUGACGAUAUCUUGAUAGUAGGGAAAAAUAUAUAGUAUAUAUAUAAAUUAAAAAUGUUAAGGUUUUUAAUAUACAUAAUUUAUUAAAAAUAGUAAAUUUGAAUACUUAAUAGUUACAAUUUUCUAUAGCUUAAUACUUAUUAAUAUAAAAAUAUGAUUACUACUUACCAUUAAAUAUUAAUUAUAAAAUUUAUUUAUAAUGAUAACAUUAGUAUAUAUUUAAACUUAGUUAAGGAACUCGGCAAACAUAUUUCUCGACUGUUUAACAAAAACAUUGCUUUAAGUUAAAUAUUUAAGGUAAAACCUGCUCAAUGAAUUAUUUAAAUAGCCGCAGUACAUUGACUGUGCAAAGGUAGCAUAAUCAAUUGGCUUAUAAUUGAAGUCUAGUAUGAAUGGGAAUUCGGGGUAUAGCUGUCUCAAUCGAGAUUAUAUAAAUUACUUAAUGAGUGAAAAGUCUCAUAUGUAGAAGAAAGACGAGAAGACCCUAGAAAUUUUAUAUACAAAAUCAUAUAUUAUUUUGUUGGGGCGACAUGGUAACAAUUAACUUACUAUAUAUACAAGCUACUAAUAAGUUGUAAGAAUAAAUUACUCUAGGGAUAACAGCAUUAUUCAAUAUGAGUUUGUGACCUCGAUGUUGGACUAGGAAAUAAUUUUUUUAGAAGAUAAAUUAUUUGGCUCUGUUCGAGCUUAUUAUCCUACAUGAUCUGAGUUCAGACCGG